rnacentral:lncRNA from 1 species
GCAGCCUCCCCCCCGCCCUCCAAGUCCCCAGGAGAGCAGUGAAUCAGCCUGACAAUGAGGUGAGUCAUUCAUGAACUGCUCGGCCGACCCAGCAGGCGGGAAGCAAACGUCAGCCAGCCUCCCAGCCCUACCCCCUACAACCCCCCAGUGGGAUCGCUCAACCCCACGCACUGCAGAUGUUGAAGAAACUGACGCGGGCGAAUCAAGGCACCAAAGCUCAUCUCCUCAGCCCCUCCCUCUGGUUUGCAAUCCAUUCAUCCCCCAGCCCCUUUCUCCCGUCGGGUGGCGGGUGGCCUUAUGAGUCAUCUCAAGAUCUACGCCCCCAAUCCGACACCCACCUGCUCUAGCCUCUCCCAGUUGGUCUUCCUCCAAGGUUGGGGGAGGGGGAGGGGAAAGGAGGCUGGACCCCUGGUGGGGUGCCAGGGUCCGCCUUUGGAAGCCAGACUGACCCACUCAGAGCUGUGGGGGUGGGCAGGACUCUGGGCAGGCUGCAGCUGGCUGGAUCUUGGAGAGCUGGCAUCCAGCUUGCUUGGAGGAGCUUCAAGAGGAACAGGGGGUGGCAGGGAAGGAGUUCCUGAAGUGUGCUGCCUCGAGCACCUGUGGCUGGGGGGGGGGGGGGGGGGGGGGGGGGGNNNNNNNNNNNNNNNNNNNNNNNNNNNNNNNNNNNNNNNNNNNNNNNNNNNNNNNNNNNNNNNNNNNNNNNNNNNNNNNNNNNNNNNNNNNNNNUCCCCCCCCCCCCCCCCCGCUUGUUCCCCCUAUCACCUAUACACCGCCACUCCCAUGUCAGCCUUCAGCCGUCAGUCGUCUUCUCUUGUACUGAACCCCCUACCUGAGGCUUCUGACUUGGACAACGGGUCCCAUGGUAGUGUCCCUUACUGGGUCGGAAAAUACUAUCCAAAGCCUUAAAAAUGUGUAGACCCUUUGACAAAACAACUCCACUUCUAAGAAUUUAUCCUAAGAAAAUAAUAAUUGAAGGGCGCUUGGGUGGCUCUGUUGGUGAAGCGUGGGACCCUUGAUUUCAGCUCUGUGCUGACAGCGAGAAGCCUGCUUGGGAUUCCCUCUUUCUGCCUCUCUCUCUGUCCCUCCCCUGCUCACACUCUGUCUCUCCCAAAAUAAAUUUUAAAAACUAAAAAAAAAAAAAAAGAAUUUGUGGCUUUAUACAGGAGAAAAACGAUUUAUUAAAUGUUUAAAAAAGCAAUUUGUGGGCACAGUCAUGGGAAUUAAUUGUAAGUGGGUACUUAUUGGGGUGAUGACAAUGUUUUAAAGCUGGAUUUUUGUGAUGGUUGUACAACGUGGUAAAUUUACUAACAAAUAUUGACUUGUACACCUAACACGGGUGACUGUUAUGUUAUGCAAAUUGUACUUAAAAGUGCUUGAAAACUCCUGAUAAAAGCCAUUUCCUGGGCUGUCCGCCAUUAAGGUCAGUCUUCCAAGGGGAUCUGGGGCGUGGAUGCCAGAUAAAAUAAAGGACACCCACUUAAAUUUGAAUUUCAGAUAAGGAAUAAUCUCUUAAUAUAAGUAUAAAAACAAAUAAGUUUUAAAAAGUUAUGAACUUAAUAUAAUAAGUAUACAAAAUUAUUCUUUAUCUGAAAUUCAAAUGUAACUGGGCAUCCUGUAUGUAUUUUUAUUUGCUAAUUCUGGCUACCCUCGCCUGGAGUCCUUGCUCCUGCAGGUUUCCUGGAGCAGGGAAACAGACUUGGGGGUGGAUAUCUGGGCUUGCACCCCCCACCCAUCCCCAGGGCAAUUCUAUAAAGCCUGGGAGUGUGAAAUGGGGAGCUCAGGAGCCAGAAACAGAAGGUGAGAGAGGGUGGGGAAGGAGUCAUUUCCGGUGAGGAAGGUGAGUACCUUGCCCAGGGAAUGGGAGUGGCCAGUAGCCUAUCAACCACCUCAGAAACCCUGGAGUGGUAACACUGAGGUUGCAGGGGGAGGGGGAGGGGGUUACCUGGAGCCUAGCCGGCCAGCCUUUCACACAAGUACUGGGUGUCAGGCCCCAAGGACGCAGUGAGGAGGAUGUUGUCCAUCUUUAGAGGUGAUAAAACAGAUUCGAAGAGUUUUAAGUACGUUUCCAAGUUCAUGGCUAGGAAGUGGCCAACUGGGUCUUUAUACUCCGUCCUUGGGGUGGAAUCCAGUGGUUAAAACAAGCAAGCUCUGGGCUCCACUAACCUGGGCAAUAGCUGCACCCAGAAUAGCCUUUGUUUUUACUUUAUUUUAUCUUUUUAAGUUUAUUUAUUUAUUUUUAGAGAGAGAGCACGAGCAAGCGAGGGAGGGGCAGAGAGAGGGAGAGACAGAAUCCCAUCACUGUCCGUGCAGGCCAAGCAGGCUCCCUACUGUCAGAUCACGCAUGACCUGAGCCAAGAUCAAGUGAGAUCAUGACCUGAGUGAUCAUGACCUGAGUGAGAUGACCUGAGCCAAGAUCAAGACCCAGACGUUUAACCAACUGAGCUACCCAGGCGCCCCAGAAUAGUCUUUGUUUUUAAACAAAUGCCCAGCUUGUUGUAGGAGCCAUGACGCUAGCUUUCCCCAGGCGUGGCCGUUGCUGAGUGUAGAGACAGGGGUCUGGGCCAGGGAGGCAUCUCCACUUACUGGGUUUGUGGCUCUCGGCAGGUUUGUUAAGUCUCUUGAACUUCAUCUUUUUUUUUUUUUUUUUUUUUUUAGAUAGAGAGCAGGCGAGAGUGAGAGAGACUCUUAAGCGGGCUCCACGCUCAGCAUGGAGCCCGAUGCGGGGCUUGAUCCCAGGAGCCUUGGGAUCAUGCCCUGAACCGAAACCAAGAGUCGGAUGCUCAACCAGCUUAGCCACUCAGGCGCCCCUCCUGAACCUCAUCUUAAAAGUGAGCUACUAACAGUCACGCCCACCUAUGGGUCAGGGGAUGACACCGAAUGGUACAGGGAAAGUCUGUUGUCUGCUGCUCUGUCCGCCAGGCACGAUGGACGUGCCAGAGACCCUGCUGCUUAAGGAUGAUGGAAUGUGCCUUCCAGACAUGUGAAUCAAGGAUUUCCUGCGGAGGUCCUGGGUCCUCAAGGAGUUUCCUGGAGAGAGAUGACAGAGCUGUCUCUGCCCGUUUGGGGAAGACCCCCUCAAAGCUGGGGAGACCUCACCUGGUGCUGUACCCAGAGAGCCUGGGUUGUGCCCUGGCCUGCCACAUACUGGUUGCUCAACCUCCCCGGUCCUCCUCUCCUUGUCUAGAAGAUGGAGUUCAUAAUAUCGACCUUGUAGAGUUGUGAGAACGAGAACAUAGGAGACAAGGCCCUUCAAAAAGGAAGUCGCUCGACAAAUAUUUACAAAAAGGGGGGGGCGAAACGUGUGUCACCUGAAGACUGUUUGCUGGAGGGAAGGCAAUUAGGCCGGGUUGUGAGUGGUGAUAGUCCUUGCCCCUCCACGUAGCAUGUAAGUCCAUGUCUUGUUCUCUUUUGUUUUAUGACCUUUGGGCCAAGAGGGUCUUCCAGAAUUAGAGGGUCCAACCCUCCAAUCACAGAGGGGAAACUGAGGCUCAGAGAGAGCAGAUGAUUUGCGUGAGCUUCUAGGCCAACCUGACCUGUGUCUCCCAGACUCCCGCCUUCCCCACUGUUCCAUCUUGUUUUCUGGGGCUCUGUUGUUUCCAAAGGAUCAUAAAGUUCUGAGAGGGCAGGCACAUUUGCAUACUCCGUUCCCUCCCAAACACCCAUGCUCUGCCCAGAGAAGAGCCUCUGGAGGAACCUGCGGACAUGUGGGAUGUGAC